rnacentral:rRNA from 1 species
UACGGAGGAUCCAAGCGUUAUCCGGAAUCAUUGGGCUUAAAGGGUCCGUAGGCGGUUUUUUAAGUCAGUGGUGAAAUCUGGUCGCUCAACGAUCAAACGGCCAUUGAUACUGUAGAACUUGAAUUAUUGGGAAGUAACUAGAAUAUGUAGUGUAGCGGUGAAAUGCUUAGAGAUUACAUGGAAUACCAAUUGCGAAGGCAGGUUACUACCAAUACAUUGACGCUGAUGGACGAAAGCGUGGGGAGCGAACAGG